UCCAGCCUACGGGGCGCAGCAGUGGGGAAUAUUGCACAAUGGGCGCAAGCCUGAUGCAGCGACGCCGCGUGAGUGAAGAAGUAAUUCGUUAUGUAAAGCUCUAUCAGUAGGGAAGAAAAUGACGGUACCUGAGUAAGAAGCCCCGGCUAACUACGUGCCAGCAGCCGCGGUAAUACGGAGGAUGCGAGCGUUAUCCGGAUUUAUUGGGUUUAAAGGGUGCGUAGGCGGUCCGGAAAGUCAGCGGUAAAAGCCCGGGGCUCAACCCCGGCGAGCCGUUGAAACUGUCGGACUAGAGACGGCGAGAA
rnacentral:rRNA from 1 species